rnacentral:rRNA from 1 species
UACGUAGGUGGCAAGCGUUGUCCGGAAUUAUUGGGCGUAAAGCGCGCGCAGGCGGCUUCUUGAGUCUGAUGUGAAAUCUCGGGGCUCAACCCCGAGCGGCCAUUGGAAACUGGGAAGCUUGAGUACAGAAGAGGAGAGUGGAAUUCCACGUGUAGCGGUGAAAUGCGUAGAUAUGUGGAGGAACACCAGUGGCGAAGGCGACUCUCUGGUCUGUAACUGACGCUGAGGCGCGAAAGCGUGGGGAGCAAACAGG